GGUAGAUGUAAAGGAGAAACUGGUCUCAUUGAACUCAGUGGGACAUUUCUGAGCACAUGUUCUUAGGUCUCAGUAGGUCUCAGUUCUCAAAUGUUUCCAAUAUAGGUGUUGCUCUCUGAAACAUUCUGAGAUCUUUGUUGACCUGCAAUGAAAUGUUAGUUUCAGUACUAUUAGCUUGAUGGCUGAGGCAAUGUUGUUUUUCUUAUUUUAGGGAACAUAUUCAUUGUUUGUGGAGUCUAAAGUCACACCAGACUUUCUGAAACAUGCCUUAUUUUCAAAGGAGUGAACUCAUCAACAAGUAAUUGAAAGGACUUUAGCUGAUUCAGUAUGCUGUUGAGAUUCUACUUCAUGCUGCUUUACAAGAGCACUCAUUUUUCACCUGCUGUGGAUAAUCAUGAAUGAGUUUAACCUGAAAAAGAAAGAUCAACAUCAAUUUGGCCAUCAGUCAACUGAAAAUGGUAGUGUACUCAACGUUUGUGAGCUGAUUCCACUCUCAAAUGCAGCUAUGAAUAUGUUAGACUUCCGUUUCUGAGCCCUAGUUUGACGAGAUCUUCUGAAACAUCAGUUUUGUAAGCAUGUAUUUGUGUAAAUUCAGG